GAGUGAUGAGCAAAAAUGCAUAGUUCAGAUGAUCAAACCCUAGUGGUUAUGAUUACUUUGAAUAAAUAGUCUUUCGCUC
rnacentral:snoRNA from 10 species